AUUAAGGAGGAUUAAGCAAGAACAUAACAUUGGCCAUAGGGGUAUGCACAUAAGGUCGUUUGGGCUGUGAAAAUGCUUGGGAAAAAAAGCCCCAUAUCAAGACACCCAAACCAGGGUCUCACAUGUCCAAACAGGGAUCCACCUCGCGCUCAAACAAAAGAUUCACCAAGCAUCGUGAUUCAUCCUUAUACCACACCCAGGUUCAGCAUAACGUGAGCAAGAACACGCUGAUGAACAAAGGACUACACAUGUGUAACACUCAUCACCUCUGGAGACGCGGAAUCACCGAGAAAUUGGGAUUUCAAUCUUGUUUUCUUGCGAAAUGGAAAAACAAUCGAAGGAAGGAGGAACCUACCUGACGAGUCUGACGUGGUGGUUCAGGUGGUGCGUCUUGUGUUCCUCGAUUGUUGCGCUCCGUUGUUGUUGAUUCAUGUGCGUUUCGAUGCAUGGUUGUGAUGGUGGAUGAAGGAUUGUUGUUGAAUUGUGGAUUGGGGUUCUUCGGUGGAUCCAACAUUGACGAAGACGAAGAUCCUCUCCAAAAUUCCUGAGUUUCUCCUUUCGAGUUCUUUCUGUUAGAAACUCUCCCCCAUUUUUUCGUUGAGAAAUUCUUCUCAAUUUUCUGUCAUCAGCUUCCCUUUUUCGUUAUGGGCUCUGUUUGCACAUUUUUGAAAUUCUCUUGUGCAAUUAUUUGAUGGUUCGUAGGAGUUUCUGUUGGAAGUUAUUUGGAUGGUUGUGAAUUCUGCUUUGAAGGUUCGAAUCAGAGGGAGUGUUGUUUGGAGAUAGUUAGGAAUGGUUGUUGAUGGUUUUUGUUGGAAGAAGGGUGUUCAGAGGUUGGAGAGGAGAUUGAAGAAAAUGGAAAAAAUGAAGGUUUUAGGGAGUUUUGUGGUUAGGAGGUUAUUGAAUCUGGUUGAAGGUUUUAGGGAGUUAGAAUUCUGUUGCAAAACGGUUAAAAGUUUCAGGGUGUGAUAAUUCUGUUGAGAGGUUGCUUUGGUUUCAUUGAAGUGCAUUGGUGGAUGCUUGAAUUGAAUUCAAUGGAAUGCUUGGAGUUUGCUUGAUGGAAUGCAAUGGAGCUGUCAUGGAAUGCAUUGGCUAUUUUAGGAUUGCUAUGGGAUUUGAUUAGUUUUGAUUAUUGUAGGGUUUAUGUAGUAUUUAGGAAUGAUGUAUGUAUGAAUGUAACAUGAUUUAUGCUUAUGGAAAUGUAAUGGUCUAUGUAAAAGGUAUUUUGAAACCUUGAAUGAAUUUGGAAUUUGUAUUGUAAUGUGAUGGAUUAUAAUGCAUUUGAACAUAUGGUAUUAAUGAAUGGAUGGAAAUUUGAAUGAGUGAA